rnacentral:misc_RNA from 1 species
GGAAGUUCUCAAUGCAAUCUGAAAAGGCAAUUCUGUUUCUCCCGCCUCUCAUGAGUCCGUAUUUAUUCAGUUUGUUCAGGUAUUGAGUAACGCUUUUAGCCUCUCCUAUUGUGACUGAGACCCCAGCCCGAGCCCACUUGCCAGGACUUCUCCCAGCUGUUCGUGAAAAUGAAGAUAGUGAGUGGACACAGAGGUCUUGAUACUUAGUCACACUACAUGCAUCUCCAACAUAACUGUCCCUACUAUUGGA